rnacentral:rRNA from 1 species
CAGCAGCCGCGGUAAUACGGAGGGUGCGAGCGUUAAUCGGAAUUACUGGGCGUAAAGCGCAUGCAGGUGGUUUGUUAAGUCAGAUGUGAAAGCCCGGGGCUCAACCUCGGAAUAGCAUUUGAAACUGGCAGACUAGAGUACUGUAGAGGGGGGUAGAAUUUCAGGUGUAGCGGUGAAAUGCGUAGAGAUCUGAAGGAAUACCGGUGGCGAAGGCGGCCCCCUGGACAGAUACUGACACUCAGAUGCGAAAGCGUGGGGAGCAAACAGGAUUAGAUACCCUGGUAGUCCACGCCGUAAACGUUGGGUACUAGGCGUGGCGUCUUAUCAACGGAUGCCGUGCUCGAAGCUAACGCGUUAAGUACCCCGCCUGGGGAGUACGGCCGCAAGGCUAAAACUCAAAGGAAUUGACGGGAGCCCGCACAAGCGGCGGAGCAUGCGGCUUAAUUCGAUGCAACCCGAAGAACCUUACCUGGGCUUGACAUCGCGGGAAAAGCCUUGGAAACAAGGUGUGCGAGAGCGUCCGUGACAGGUGGUGCAUGGUUGUCGUCAGCUCGUGUCGUGAGAUGUUGGGUUAAGUCCCGCAACGAGCGCAACCCUUGUCUUUAGUUGCCAUCAGGUAAUGCUGGGGACUCUAAAGAGACCGCUGGUGACGAGCCAGAGGAAGGUGGGGAUGACGUCAAGUCCGCAUGGCCCUUAUGCCCUGGGCUGCACACGUGCUACAAUGGUCGGUACAGAGGGUUGCCAAACCGCGAGGUGGAGCGAAUCCCAAAAAGCCGGCCCCAGUUCGGAUUGCAGUCUGCAACUCGACUGCAUGAAUGUUGGAAUCGCUAGUAAUCGCGAAUCAGCAGGUCGCGGUGAAUACGUUCCCGGCCCUUGUACACACCGCCCGU